AAAUGAUUAUUUUAUUUAUUCAGUUCCACUGGUGGAUAUUUUUUAGCAUUAUUUAUAAUCCUCUGAGCGUAAUUAAGGCACUUGGUUAGGCUAUGCAUCUGUGUACAUAUUGCAUAAGCGACGUGGUCUGACUCCUAGCUGGAAUAAAGGGGAGAAAGUGCAAUGUAAUUCUGAAUUGAAUUCUUAUCCGUAAUUCUAUGAGCAUAAUGAAGGCACUUGGUUAGGCUGUGCAUCUGUAUAGAUAUUGCUGAAGUAAUCACAAUUGACGAAUAAAGAGGAGAGAAAGUUAAAUCUAA